rnacentral:lncRNA from 1 species
UUUAUUAAUCUUUGUAAUAUUUUGGAAAGUAAAGUUUGGGUUUUUUUUUUUUAGUCUUUGUAGAGCCUCACUCAUGGCAUCUGUGGUGUAGGCUGGCAGCUGCAGCUCUGAUUUGACCUCUAGCUGGGAGCUUCCAUGUGCUGAGAGUGUGGCCCUAAAAAGACAAAAAAGAAAAAAAAAUUGUUAGAUAAAAGUGGUGUGAAACUACUUAUUGUUUAAUUUCUGUUUUUAAUGGAAUAGGAAACACUUUAUAUCUUAAUUAUUAAUUUAAAAAUAAUUAUCAAGGAGUUCCCGUCGUGGCGCAGUGGUUAACGAAUCCGACUAGGAACGAUGAGGUUGCGGGUUCGGUCCCUGCCCUUGCUCAGUGGGUUAACAAUCCGGCGUUGCCGUGAGCUGUGGUGUAGGUUGCAGACGCGGCUCGGAUCCUGCGUUGCUGUGGCUCUGGCGUAGGCCGGUGGCUACAGCUCCGAUUCAACCCCUAGCCUGGGAACCUCCAUAUGCCGCGGAAGCGGCCCAAGAGAUAGCAACAACAACAACAACAAAAAGACAAAAGACAAAAAGACAAAAAAAAAAUAAUAAUAAUUAUCAAGUCAGUUUAACAAAAUAAUCUUAGAGAGUGAAAGGAGAAAGAAAUGUUUCUCCUCAGUUUCCUAUCCCCCUUUUCAAAAGUUUAACUGGUAGUCAUUGAAUUCUAUAGACUUUCUCAUGAAUUUAACUGAUAGUCAUGAAUUCUGUAGACUCAGCCUUACGGGUGAUGACACUUUUUCUUGUGAAUGUGAUCAGCAUGGUAACAAUUCUGUCUCUUGUGUGAGUCUUGAAUUCCACUUAUGUUUUGUCUUACUGGGUAUUUGUUGUAUUUUUAAUAAACUGCUGUUUAUGUUAGGGUUGCUAAAAUUUUAAAAUUAAUCCUGAGAUUUAUUUCUUGUGAUACUUCACCAUCUACUUGUGGGUGGAGAUGACCUGUAAUUUUUUGUUUACCUCUGUUAGCCUGGUUAGCCUGGUUUUUGGCUGCCCUACAGCGUAUGGAUUUCCUGGGCCAGGGAGCAGAUCCGAGCCACAGUUGUGACCUGAGCCACAGUUGUGACCUAAGCCACAGCUGCGGCAACACUGGAUCCUUAACCCACUC